rnacentral:misc_RNA from 1 species
GAUGAAGAACGUAGCGAAAUGCGAUAAGUAAUGUGAAUUGCAGAAUUCAGUGAACCAUCGAAUCUUUGAACGCACAUUGCGCCCGGCAGUAAUCUGCCGGGCAUGCCUGUCCGAGCGUCAUUUCUCCCCUCGAGCGCAGCUUUCCCCCCCGGGGGAGGGCCGCGCCCGGUGUUGGGGCGCUACGGGGGAGCCCAGCGCUCCCCCGUAGGCCCCGAAAUGUAGUGGCGGUCCCGCCGCGGCGCCCCCUGCGUAGUAGUUUUACAACUCGCAUCGGGUCCCGGCGGAGGCCAGCCGUCAAACCCCCCAACUUCAAUAGUUUGACCUCGGAUCAGGUAGGGUUACCCGCUGAACUUAAGCAUAUCAAUAAGCGGAGGA